rnacentral:rRNA from 1 species
GACAGAGGGGGCAAGCGUUGCUCGGAAUCACUGGGCGUAAAGGGCGCGUAGGCGGGAUGGCAAGUCGGUCGUGAAAUCCCUCGGCUCAACUGAGGGGGGGUCGGCCGAUACUGCCGUUCUUGAGGGAUGCAGAGGAGACUGGAAUUCCCGGUGUAGCGGUGAAAUGUGUAGAGAUCGGGAGGAACACCGGUGGCGAAGGCGGGUCUCUGGGCAUUUCCUGACGCUGAGGCGCGAAAGCGUGGGGAGCAAACGGG